GGUGAGUAACACGUGGGUAAUCUGCCCUCGGUUCCGGGAUAGCCCGGGGAAACCCGGAUUAAUACCGGAUGGCCUUUCGAGCUCACGAGCUCGUAAGAAAAGGUAGCUUCGGCCUCCGACCGAGGAUGAGCCCGCGGCCGAUUAGCUUGUUGGUGGGGUAACGGCUCACCAAGGCGACGAUCGGUAGCUGGUCUGAGAGGAUGAUCAGCCACACUGGGACUGAGACACGGCCCAGACUCCUACGGGAGGCAGCAGUGGGGAAUCUUGCGCAAUGGGCGAAAGCCUGACGCAGCGACGCCGUGUGCGGGAAGAAGGCCUUCGGGUUGUAAACCGCUUUCAGGAGGGACGAAGCCACUCGGGUUAAUAGCCCAGAGGGUGACGGU
rnacentral:rRNA from 1 species